rnacentral:lncRNA from 1 species
UGUCCAGGUGUGUCCAGCACGUCGUUGUUUACCUGAACAAGGCGGACGCGGUGCCGGACCCGGAGCUGUUGGGGGUUGGGUUCAGACCCAGGUUCAGGUUCAGGUGUGUCUCACCUGUCCAAUCUCACCUGUCCAGGUGUGUCCAGCACGUCGUGGUUUACCUGAACAAGGUGAACAGCGUCAGACCCAGGUCCAGGUUCAGAUCCAGGUUCAGGUUCAGAUCCAGGUUCAGGUUCAGGUGUAACCCCUCACCUGUCUCACCUGUCUCACCUGUCCAGGUGUGUCCAGCACGUCGUGGUUUACCUGAACAAGGUGAAUGCGGUGUCAGACCCAGGUUCAGGUUCAGGUCCAGGUUCAGGUUCAGGUCCAGGUUCAGGUGUAGGUUCAGGUCCAGGUUCAGGUGUGACCCCUCACCUGUCUCACCUGCACAGGUGGGUGUCCAGCACGUCGUUGUUUACCUGAACAAGGUGAGCAGUGUCGGACCCAGGUUCAGGUGUAGGUUCAGGUUCAGGUUCAGGUUCAGAUCCAGGUUCAGGUUCAGAUCCAGGUUCAGGUUCAGGUUCAGGUGUAGGUUCAGGUGUAACCCCUCACUUGUCUCACCUGUCCAAUCUCACCUGCACAGGUGGGUGUCCAGCACGUCGUUGUUUACCUGAACAAGGCGGACGCGGUGCCGGACCCGAAGCUGUUGGGGGUUGGGUUCAGGUGUAGGUUCAGAUCCAGGUGUAGGUUCAGGUGUGACUCACCUGUCCAAUCUCACCUGCACAGGUGGGUGUCCAGCACGUCGUGGUUUACCUGAACAAGGUGAAUGCGGUGUCAGACCCAGGUUCAGGUGUAGGUUCAGGUUCAGGUUCAGGUUCAGACCCAGGUUCAGGUUCAGGUGUAGGUUCAGGUUCAGGUUCAGGUGUGACCCCUCACCUGUCUCACCUGCACAGGUGGGUGUCCAGCACGUUGUUGUUUACCUGAACAAGGUGAAUGCGGUGCCGGACCCAGGUUCAGGUCCAGGUUCAGGUUCAGGUUCAGGUUCAGGUGUGACUCACCUGUCUCACCUGCACAGGUGGGUGUCCAGCACGUCGUGGUUUACCUGAACAAGGCGGACG